rnacentral:misc_RNA from 1 species
UCCUGUUUGCCAGUUGCUUGAGUUCUGUAAUUAGAGUUGCCAGAAGAAGAUAUAGAGAGACUAUUUUUGUAUUGUAAUUCUGAAUUCUUGAUUGUUCUUGAGCUGUUUGGCUUUCUUAAUUCAAUACAAAAUUCUCUGUGUUGUUAUUCCAUUACUUAUUUUGUUCCUAACUCUAUCAAAACAGCAUCACCAUAUAGAUAAGGUCUUUGAAAUGCUCCAAUACAUAUAAUUUAGAUGGAGACAACAGAAAGUCAUACACAAACAAGCCACCAUCAACCUAUACACCAACAGUACCAUUGCAUUCAAACGGACAAGCCACUGAGUCACGAGAACUCACUAAACAGAUAUGUCACUUCAUUCCUACGUAUCCCGAUUCCCCAUCAAAUUUCUACACUGAUCAGAAAAUCCUUUUAACAUACAGUUACAACCACCGAAUCAAGCUUAAAAAUUCAGAAGUCCUCUACUCUGAGAAGCCUCAAAUCAAAUACUCCUUUUUCUCCCCUUCCCUCAACAAUCUACACAAAAAAAUCACAAUGACCUCAAAAUUAACCCGUACACUGAAAAUGAUGCAAACUAAAGGGAGAUUUGAACUAGAAAGGGAAGAAACACAGAUGAAUUACAGGGAGAGAAGAAUGAAAAGAAGAAUCCCAGAGAGAGAGAGAGAAGAUCUUAAUUCAUCAUACACACUGAAUCACAGAAGAAUUUCCUUCUUUAUAUAACCAGCAGCUAACCAUUGAAUCUCUUCCUGUCUAACAGUCUAACAACCCUCACCUAUUAAUAUUAGACACGUAUCAAUACCUCCCCCUCAAGCUUCCUUGCCCUCAAGG